CCUACGGGAGGCUGCAGUGGGGAAUAUUGGGCAAUGGGCGCAAGCCUGACCCAGCAACGCCGCGUGAAGGAAGAAGGCUUUCGGGUUGUAAACCUCUUUUGACAGGGAAGAGUAGAAGACGGUACCUGUUGAAUAAGCUAUGGCUAAUUACGUGCCAGCAGCCGCGGUAAUACGUAGGUGGCAAGCGUUGUCCGGAUUUACUGGGUGUAAAGGGCGUGUAGCCGGGUUGACAAGUCAGAUGUGAAAGCCUGCGGCUUAACCGCAGAACUGCAUUUGAAACUGUUGAUCUUGAGUACUGGAGAGGCAGACGGAAUUCCUAGUGUAGCGGUGAAAUGCGUAGAUAUUAGGAGGAACACCAGUGGCGAAGGCGGUCUGCUGGACAGCAACUGACGGUGAGGCGCGAAAGCGUGGGGAGCAAACAGGAUUAGAUACCCCGGUAGUC
rnacentral:rRNA from 1 species